rnacentral:rRNA from 1 species
CCAAUAGCGUAUAUUAAAGUUGUUGCAGUUAAAAAGCUCGUAGUUGAAUUUCGGGAUCAAUGCGUCGGUCGUGCCUUCGGUACGUACUAGCGUCAUUGAUUCCUCCCUUCUGAAGAACCGUGAUGUCAUUAAUUUGGUGUUACGGGGAAUCAGGACUGUUACCUUGAAAAAAUUAGAGUGUUUAAAGCAGGCUAACGCUUGAAUACAUUAGCAUGGAAUAAUGAAAUAGGACGUUCGAACCUAUUUUGUUGGUUUCUAGGAUCGACGUAAUGAUUAAUAGUGAUAGUUGGGGGCAUUAGUAUUCAAUUGUCAGCGGUGAAAUUCUUGGAUUUAUUGAAGACUGACUACUGCGAAAGCAUUUGCCAAGGAUGUUUUCAUUAAUCAAGAACGAAAGUUAGGGGAUCGAAGACGAUCAGAUACCGUCGUAGUCUUAACCAUAAACUAUGCCGACUAGGGAUCGGAUGAUGUUAAUUUUUUAACGACUCAUUCGGCGCCUUACG